GGAACACAAGCAGGGGGAGUGGGAGAGGGAAAAGCAGGCUUCCCGUUGAGCAGGGUGCCCGAUGCAGGGCUCGAUCCCAGGACCCUGGGAUCAUGACUUGAGCUGAAGGCAGACAUUUAACCAACUGAGCCACCCAGGUGCCCCCAUAGUAGGUCUUCUGAUAUUAAACUGUCUUGUCCAGUUCCUGGGAUAAAUUCUACUUGGUGAUGGUGAUGUAUUAUUAUUUCCUUAAGGUACAGCUGGAUUCAGUUUGUUAAUGUUUUAUUUAGGAUUUUUGCACCUAGUUUUAGAAGUAAAAUUGACCCCUGAUUUUCUUUUUCUGGAGUGCCCUUGCUUACUUUUUGUGUCCUUGAUGAAUGAGUCAGAAAGAAUGCUUUUAAUGCUUUGGAGAUCUUAAUCUUUCUUACACAAAGACUUAUUCCUUGAAGUUUUGCUAUAAUUAGCUGGUUUAAUUGUCUGAGGCCAUUGCCUUUGGGAGAGGUCUUUUGUCUUUUCGUUUUCUUUUUCAGUUAACAGUUUUUCAUUUUCAUUAUCAUUUUUUUUACUUGAUUUUAGGCAAUUUCUAUUCUUCUAGGAAAUCACCCAUUUCUUCUGGUCUUUUCCGUCUCUCCUCCCUCCCUCCGCCUCUCUCUUACUGAAGGCACUGUCUCCUUUGCCUGCAGCGCUGCUUCUUGCCUGGAUGUCCAGACUCCACCUUAGGCUCAGAAGAGCAGCGUUCUGUUCACUACUUUGGAUCUCCCACGGUAGAGUCUUGAUCUUUUUGUGCUGAGUUACGCUCAUCCUGGUCAUUAUCCCUGCUCGUUCUUCGUACAGGGACCAGGGACCAGGGACCAGCACAUGUCCUUUAGUUUUAUAUCCUGCGCACAGCCACAGAUCCUAGCACACUGGGGCUGGGGGAGAAUCCUGUUGACCUUGUAGUAGAAAGCCGUGUCAUUGGUCAUCGGCUAUCCUAGCAUCCCUCCUGUGUGGCCUCUCCCUCUAAGUAUAUGGCCCUACGCUGUUGAACUCAGAAGUGACCAUGUGACUUGAUUUGCUCAUGAGCUGUGGUCCCAGGUAUCACUUUGGGUCAAAUUUGUAAGUAUGGUUCUCUGUUUUUUAUUUUCCUCUAUCCGUCCUCCUGAUCAUGUUCCAAACAGGCGCUGCUCCUGCUGUGUUGGUCUAGGACUGAAGAUGGCUUGGAGCACAGUUGCAGAUGACACAUGAUGGACAGGGAUCCGGAAGGAGAAGGAAAUUGUUACUUUAAGCUCUGGAGAUUGUGGGGGGAGUAUUCACCAUUGCAGAAUAACUUGACCCAUCUUGACUGAUACAGACCCCUCCUCCCCUUCACUGUCCUGGUUUGGAAGCAAGAUGGGCUUUCAUAAGGCUCCAAGAAGUACCCCUGGGCAGCAGAAGUUGAUCUUGAGAGGAAGUAACUUCUACCUGGCCCCUCUAGCUGAAUUUCACAGCAGGCACUAGGCUGACUCUGUCCUGCCCGCUGAGAGCCAGGCCGGGGACAGGUUUUGCCUCUGGAAGACAGGGAAGACACAGAGACCAUGAAGGAACGGACUCAAAAUCACCCGGCAGGUUUGCCUUCUGGCUCUACUGACUGGCUUCAGGGAAAAGAGGGCAAGGCCCAAAUGCUGAAAUGUAAUGUAUUCUUUCACGAGGAUGGGGAUGAGAUUCUGCUGGCCCAACCAACAGGUACUGGUUACAUUCGGGGGUGUGGCUGUGGUCUUCACGGAUGCUGAAUGGAAGAGACUGAGCUCUGAGCAGAGGAGCGUCUACAAAGAAGUGAUGCUGGAGAAUUACGAGAGCCUGCUCUCAUUGGCAGAACCAAAGCCAGAAAUCUGUCCCUGUGCCUCCUGCCUUCUGGCCUUCUUCUGUCAGCAAGUCCUUAGCCAACAUGUGCUUCAGAUCGUCUUGGGCUUAAAUGUAGAGAAUCUUUUCCAUCCAAGGGAUUCUGGCCCCAGGCAUUGGGAGUGGCAGUAUUCGCUCAGAGCUGCUGGUUUGGAAACACAGAAGGUCAUCAGAGUGAAAGUGGUUCCUGGCCCCUAUGUGUGGGGACAGAGGAGACAGAGACCUCAGGAGCAUUCCCCAGCCUACCCCGAGCAUAGUCAGCAAGAGCUAGAGAAGGCCCCAUGGUGGUAGAGACAGAGCCUAGCUCAGCCCAAAGGCUAAACCCUGUGCAAACAGACAGGGGAAGGAGAGACGCCUCAAGACCCAGGGUACUCAGUGGUACAGAACCUGAACCAGACGAUCGCCUGAAAUCAGACUUUGUUACAAAGCAGAUGACCCACUUGCAGGAGAAACCCUCCCACUUGCGGGAGUGCGGGUAAGGCUUUAAAGUGGAUUCAACCCUCAUCAGACACCAGUGGACACACUCAAAGAAGAAGCCUUAUGGGCCCAGUUAGUGUGGCCGAGGCUUCAGCCAGAUGUCAAUCCUCAUUAAUCAUCAGAGGACACACUCAGGAGAAAAGCCAUAUGUGUGUAAGGAGUGCGGCUGAGGCUUUAGCCAGAAGUCCAACCUCAACAGACACCUGAGAACACAUUCAGAAGAGAAGCCUUGUGUGUGCGGGGAGUGUGGGCAGAGCUUUAGAAAUAAGUCAGUCUUGAUUAGAUGUCAGUGGACUCACUCUGUGGAGAAGCCUUAUGUCUGCAGCGAGUGUGGGCGAAGCUUCAGGGAGAAGUCAUACUUCAUCAGACACCAGAGGACACACUGUGGGGAGAAACCCUAUGUGUGCGUGGAGUGUGGUCGAGCCUUUGGUGAUAAGUCAGCCCUUAGAAAACACCAGAGGACACACUCAGAUGAGAAGCCUUACGUUUGUGGGCUUUUGGGGUAAGUCAGACCUCAGCAUACACGACAGGAUACAAUCGAGGGAGAAGCCUU